AAGUUGCAGUGUGAUGGAUGGCUGUUGGUCUGGGCCCUGCUGGUCCACGGCGGACAUCAAGUUGUGCUCUGUAUGGGAUAACUGAGGUGAUCUGGGCUCAUCACUCUGCGAACUCGCCAAUAGUGCCAGUGGUGGCUGGGGUGACACUGCCGAAAGUCUUCGCCUGGGUGGGGAUGAUGGAGGUGCUGAAUCCGAGCCAAGACGCCGUGUCUUAGUUGGCCUCCUGGAAUAUGUGACUACAGUGAAGACUUACCUGCAAUCCCAGCCUCAUCCUGACUUGUCUGAGGCCUGUCUGGGCGGCU